CAAGAAACUGUACUGGAAAUCUACAAUAACUCAUGGAGGGAGGAAAUGUCUUACAGAAGAGGCAUUAGAUCGAACAUCCGGUGGUGUUUUCUCCCCCUCGGUUUCUGGAAAACUGUAUACUUUCAUUUAUAAACACUAUGCCCAGACCCCAAAGUAGGAAUCAGGAGCUCCUUUGAGGACAUGCAACCCUUCUCAGCAGUCUCACAUAACAGCAUGAGGUGCUCAAAAAGGGCCAGUGUGCAGCAGUGAGUGCCAGUCUGAAUGAAGGAAGCAUGCAUGGCCUGGAGCCUCACCGUGUUCCAGGCAUCCAGAACAAGUUCUCACAUGGGAACCCGAGCAAAGUGUUAACGGAUGUUCCCAGGAGCUGCCUAUGGGAUUGAAGAAACACGUAUGAGAGGAGUAACCUUUGGACUGGCAGCGAAGAUACAAGUAAAUAUAUGUCAAAUAGGUUUUCCAGGGGCAGCUGAAUUCCUCACAAGGCUUCGAGUUGAUCACACCCAUUUUGUGUCUGAUGACCGCUGGCCGCACGGGACGAGCAGGCAGGUGUUUUCUCUCUGGCUAAUCCAUGGAGCAGGCCGCGUGGAGACAGGCCUGUGUGAAAUUGCUUUUCACACCAUGAGGGAGCUGGGAUGAUCUCUCAACAGUAUAACUGCACGUGCACACUGACUGGAAUAUUUUCAUUUCAGAAAGGAUUGGAGCAAAGUUCUCAUUUCUCAUCAGAGAUACACUGGAGUAGGCAGAAGUCUUUCUGUUCCCCUUAACAAGGUUGAGGGAAGAAUGCAGAAACAGUGCAAGAAACAGAUUAGACUUAAGAAGUAAAGCAACUUCCCUGACAUACUCAGAUUUAUGGCUUUAAUUAGGAAGGCCAACAACCAGGGUCAUAGGAAAAGUAGAGGAAUGACAGACCUGGAUUCAAAUAUCAUUUCUACAACUUGUUAAUUGUAAGAUUUGGGCCAAGAACCUCGAACAGACUUCGUUUCCAGUGGGAACAGUCGUUCCAUCAAAACUGGUUGAAGUUCAAUGUAGCAGAACUUGUAACGAAGCCUGUUUACUCUGUACAAAUGAGUCAUGAUUCCUCACUGACAUGGUUUGGAUCUGUGUCCCGGCCCAAAUCUCGUAUGGAAUUGUAAUCCCCCAUGUUAAAGUUGGAGGCUGGUGGGAGGCGAUUUUGGGGGUGGAUUUUCCUCUUGGUGCUGUUCUAGUGAUAGUGAGUUCUCAUGAGAUCUGGUUGUUUAAAAGCGUGUGGCCCCUCCCUGCUCUCUCUUGCUCCUGCUCCUCUAUGUAAAACACCUGCUCCUCUAUGUAAAACACCUGCUCCCUCUUUGCCUUCCACCACAAUUGGAAGCUCCCUGAG
rnacentral:lncRNA from 1 species